rnacentral:rRNA from 1 species
UGGGGAAUAUUGGACAAUGGGCGAAAGCCUGAUCCAGCCAUGCCGCGUGUGUGAAGAAGGUCUUCGGAUUGUAAAGCACUUUAAGUUGGGAGGAAGGGCAUUAACCUAAUACGUUAGUGUUUUGACGUUACCGACAGAAUAAGCACCGGCUAACUCUGUGCCAGCAGCCGCGGUAAUACAGAGGGUGCAAGCGUUAAUCGGAAUUACUGGGCGUAAAGCGCGCGUAGGUGGUUUGUUAAGUUGGAUGUGAAAUCCCCGGGCUCAACCUGGGAACUGCAUUCAAAACUGACUGACUAGAGUAUGGUAGAGGGUGGUGGAAUUUCCUGUGUAGCGGUGAAAUGCGUAGAUAUAGGAAGGGACACCAGUGGCGAAGGCGACCACCUGGACUAAUACUGACACUGAGGUGCGAAAGCGUGGGGAGCAAACA